UUGUCCAGGCAAAUCCGGAUAAUCAAGGCUGAGGUGUGAUGACGAGGCACUACGGUGCUGAAGUAACAAAUGCCCUGCUUCCAGGAAAAGCCUCUAAGCAUCAGGUAACAUUAAAUCGUACCCCAAACCGACACAGGUGGUCAGGUAGAGAAUACCAAGGCGCUUGAGAGAACUCGGGUGAAGGAACUAGGCAAAAUGGUGCCGUAACUUCGGGAGAAGGCACGCUGGUGUGUAGGUGAAGUCCCUGCGGAUGGAGCUGAGACCAGUCGAAGAUACCAGCUGGCUGCAACUGUUUAUUAAAAACACAGCACUGUGCAAACACGAAAGUGGACGUAUACGGUGUGACGCCUGCCCGGUGCCGGAAGGUUAAUUGAUGGGGUUAUCCGUAAGGAGAAGCUCUUGAUCGAAGCCCCGGUAAACGGCGGCCGUAACUAUAACGGUCCUAAGGUAGCGAAAUUCCUUGUCGGGUAAGUUCCGACCUGCACGAAUGGCGUAAUGAUGGCCAGGCUGUCUCCACCCGAGACUCAGUGAAAUUGAACUCGCUGUGAAGAUGCAGUGUACCCGCGGCAAGACGGAAAGACCCCGUGAACCUUUACUAUAGCUUGACACUGAACAUUGAGCCUUGAUGUGUAGGAUAGGUGGGAGGCUUUGAAGCGUGGACGCCAGUCUGCGUGGAGCCAACCUUGAAAUACCACCCUUUAAUGUUUGAUGUUCUAACGUUGGCCCCUUACCGGGGUUGCGGACAGUGUCUGGUGGGUAGUUUGACUGGGGCGGUCUCCUCCCAAAGCGUAACGGAGGAGCACGAAGGUUAGCUAAUCCUGGUCGGACAUCAGGAGGUUAGUGCAAUGGCAUAAGCUAGCUUGACUGCGAGCGUGACGGCGCGAGCAGGUGCGAAAGCAGGUCAUAGUGAUCCGGUGGUUCUGAAUGGAAGGGCCAUCGCUCAACGGAUAAAAGGUACUCCGGGGAUAACAGGCUGAUACCGCCCAAGAGUUCAUAUCGACGGCGGUGUUUGGCACCUCGAUGUCGGCUCAUCACAUCCUGGGGCUGAAGUAGGUCCCAAGGGUAUGGCUGUUCGCCAUUUAAAGUGGUACGCGAGCUGGGUUUAGAACGUCGUGAGACAGUUCGGUCCCUAUCUGCCGUGGGCGCUGGAGAAUUGAGGGGGGCUGCUCCUAGUACGAGAGGACCGGAGUGGACGCAUCACUGGUGUUCGGGUUGUCAUGCCAAUGGCACUGCCCGGUAGCUAAAUGCGGAAGAGAUAAGUGCUGAAAGCAUCUAAGCACGAAACUUGCCCCGAGAUGAGUUCUCCCUGAGACUUUAAGUCUCCUGAAGGAACGUUGAAGACGACGACGUUGAUAGGCCGGGUGUGUAAGCGCAGCGAUGCGUUGAGCUAACCGGUACUAAUGAACCGUGAGGCUUAACCUU
rnacentral:rRNA from 1 species